rnacentral:rRNA from 1 species
GAUGAGCGCUGGCGGCGUGCCUAAUACAUGCAAGUCGAGCGGUAACAGGGAGAGCUUGCUCUCUGCUGACGAGCGGCGGACGGCUGAGUAACACGUAGGAACGUACCCCAAAGUGAGGGAUAACUGCUCGAAAGAGUAGCUAAUACCGCAUGUGAUCCACGGAUUAAAGCUUUAUGCGCUUUGGGAACGGCCUGCGUCCGAUUAGCUAGUUGGUGAGGUAAUAGCUCACCAAGGCGAUGAUCGGUAGCUGGUCUGAGAGGAUGAUCAGCCAGACUGGGACUGAGACACGGCCCAGACUCCUACGGGAGGCAGCAGUAGGGAAUUUUCCACAAUGGGCGAAAGCCUGAUGGAGCAACGCCGCGUGCAGGAUGAAUGCCUUCGGGUUGUAAACUGCUUUUGUUAGUGAAGAUUAUGACGGUAGCUAACGAAUAAGGGUCUGCUAACUACGUGCCAGCCGCCGCCGUAA